AGGAAAGGGGGCGGAGUGCCUCAUACAUGCAAGUCGAGCGCACGGACGAGAAGCUUGCUUCUCUGAUGUUAGCGGCGGACGGGUGAGUAACACGUGGAUAACCUACCUAUAAGACUGGGAUAACUUCGGGAAACCGGAGCUAAUACCGGAUGAUAUUUUGAACCGCAUGGUUCCAAAGUGAAAGACGGUCUUGCUGUCACUUAUAGAUGGAUCCGCGCUGCAUUAGCUAGUUGGUAAGGUAACGGCUUACCAAGGCAACGAUGCAUAGCCGACCUGAGAGGGUGAUCGGCCACACUGGAACUGAGACACGGUCCAGACUCCUACGGGAGGCAGCAGUAGGGAAUCUUCCGCAAUGGGCGAAAGCCUGACGGAGCAACGCCGCGUGAGUGAUGAAGGUCUUCGGAUCGUAAAACUCUGUUAUUAGGGAAGAACAUAUGUGUAAGUAACUGUGCACAUCUUGACGGUACCUAAUCAGAAAGCCACGGCUAACUACGUG
rnacentral:rRNA from 1 species